AGUUUGUAUGCAGUCAUUACCCUGCAAGAAUCAAGUGAGCUGACUGUGAUACCAACAAACUGGCUGAAUGAACACAAGACACAAUGUUACUGGCCUCCAUUCAAGGCACCUAAGACAUGCACAGAAGCUGUAAAGAACAGACUUGAACCUGCUAGAGGAGAAAAUCCAUGGGAGAUGCUGAACAUCAUAUUUCAUGAACAACAUGCCACUUUUGAGCAGGCUAAAGAGAAGGAAGAAGCACUCAGACAGCAGACUGAACUACCCUCUACAUCUUUUGGAUGUCUUGAAAGACAAAACUCUCCACUGCGAUCAGGAAUAUCCACUGGCUUUUCCUCCCAAACCACAGUCAUUAGUCAUGAUAUGGAGAUAAGAAACAAAGCAAAGCAGAUCAUUGAAAGAGUUAUGGCCCAAAUUCAGACCACACCAAAUGCAUUAAAACCUGACAUUGUAGACGCCGUUUCAAAGCUAAAUAAAAUUGAUAAAGACAGCAAAAUGAAGGCAACCAUAGGGGUUUUUGGAAGAACAGGAGUAGGAAAAAGCUCUCUAAUAAAUGCAGUCCUAGGAGAAAAAUAUUUACUGCCUUCCAGUUAUAUGUCUGCAUGCACAUCUGUGAUUACACAGGUGGAAGCAAAUCUGAGCGACUCCAACUACACAGCAGAGAUUGAAUUCUUUUCUAAAGAGGUUUGCUCAAAAAAUAUAUAUUUUUAUAUAGAUUUUCAUUUUAAUAAGAUUAAAUAAUAGUUAGUAACAGAAGAUUAAACAAAACAUACUUGAAGGAUGUACCGUUCUGCUCAUAAGUUUAAAUACCCCUUACAGAAUCUACAUGUUAUGUGCUAUAUGGUAUGCUGUGUUAUUUUGCAGGAAUGGGAAAUUGAGAUUGUUUCAUCAGAAAAAAACGAGGAUAGGGACAACCUUAUAACAGAAAUUAUUAAAGAAAAGAUAAUUGCACUGUAUGGAGCUGAUGCAGGGAAGAAAACUUUGAAAGAGCUCAAGAAAGUGGACAAAUAUAUUGAAAUUAACAAUGUUUUGUCUACUGGGAAGAUGACAAUCUCGAACCAGAAUCUGUCUGAUAUUACCUGUGCAGUUGCUCAAUACAUAAAAGACGAUGAGUCAAAUCCUGGUGGCUGGUACUGGCCGCUUGUGAAGAGUGUAACAAUCAAGACUCCUAACUGUCGUGAACUCCUGGAGCACAUUGUCUUGGUUGAUAUUCCUGGUACUGGAGACUGCAACAAGAUCAGAGAUGACCUCUGGAGAUCUAAACUAAAGCACUGUUCAUCUGUGUGGAUUGUAAGUGACAUCAACCGAGCAGUCUCAGACAAAGACCCCUGGGAAAUAUUGGAGCACUGCAUUCAAGACUUGGGAGGAGGAGGAGAAUGCAAACACAUCAACUUCAUCUGCACCAAGACCGAUCAGAUUAAUUCAAGGGGAUAUCUUGCGUUAGAAUAA
rnacentral:lncRNA from 1 species